rnacentral:lncRNA from 8 species
AUGUGGAACUGUACAAACACACCCCUAUUUCCAGGUGGAACUGUACUCAUACACACACACACCCCUAUUUCCAGGUGGAACUGUCCUCAUAUACACACACACACACACACACACACACCCACCCCUAUUUCCAGGUGGAACUGUACUCAUACACACCCCUAUUUCCAGGUGGAACUGUACUCAUACACCCACCCCUAUUUCCAGGUGGAACUGUCCUCAUAUACACACACACACCCACCCCUAUUUCCAGGUGGAACUGUACUCAUACACACACACCCCUAUUUCCAGGUGGAACUGUACUCAUACACACCCCUAUUUCCAGGUGGAACUGUACUCACACAAACCCCUAUUUCCAGGUGGAACUGUACUCACACACACACACCACUAUUUCCAGGUGGAACUGUACACACACACACACGCACACCACACCACUAUUUCCAGGUGGAACUGUACUCAUACACACCCACACACACACCCCUAUUUCCAUGUGGAACUGUCCUCAUAUACACACACACACACACCACACCCCUAUUUCCAGGUGGAACUGUACUCAUACACACACACCCCUAUUUCCAUGUGGAACUGUACUCACACACCCCUAUUUCCAGGUGGAACUGUACUCAUACACACACACGCACACCCCUAUUUCCAGGUGGAACUGUACUCAUACACACCACUAUUUCCAGGUGGAACUGUACUCAUACACACCCCUAUUUCCAGGUGGAACUGUACUCAUACACACCCCUAUUUCCAGGUGGAACUGUACUCAUACACACCCCUAUUUCCAUGUGGAACUGUACUCAUACACACCCCUAUUUCCAUGUGGAACUGUACUCAUACACACACCCCUAUUUCCAUGUGGAACUGUACACACACACCCCUAUUUCCAUGUGGAACUGUACUCUCACACACACACACCACUAUUUCCAGGUGGAACUGUACUCAUACACACCACUAUUUCCAGGUGGAACUGUACUCAUACACACCCCUAUUUCCAGGUGGAACUGUACACAUACACACCCCUAUUUCCAUGUGGAACUGUACUCAUACACACCCCUAUUUCCAUGUGGAACUGUACUCACACACACACCCCUAUUUCCAUGUGGAACUGUACUCACACACACACCCCUAUUUCCAGGUGAAACUGUACUCAUACACACACACCCCUAUUUCCAUGUGGAACUGUACUCAUACACACCCCUAUUUCCAGGUGGAACUGUACUCAUACACACCCCUAUUUCCAGGUGGAACUGUACUCCACACACACCCCUAUUUCCAGGUGAAACUGUACUCAUACACACACACCCCUAUUUCCAUGUGGAACUGUACUCACACACACACCCCUAUUUCCAGGUGAAACUGUACUCAUACAGACACACACCCCUAUUUCCAGGUGGAACUGUCCUCAUAUACACACACACACACACACACACACACCCACCCCUAUUUCCAGGUGGAACUGUACUCACACACACCACUAUUUCCAGGUGGAACUGUACACACACAAACCACUAUUUCCAGGUGGAACUGUACACACACAAACCACUAUUUCCAGGUGGAACUGUACACACACACACACACACACCACUAUUUCCAGGUGGACCUCCCCACACACACACACCCACACACCCCUAUUUCCAGGUGGAACUGUCCUCAUACACACACACACACACACAACCCUAUUUCCAGGUGGAACUGUACUCAUACACACCCACCCCUAUUUCCAGGUGGAACUGUACUCAUACACCCCUAUUUUCCAGGUGGAACUGUACUCAUACACACACACACACCCCUAUUUCCAGGUGGAACUGUACUCAUACACACCACUAUUUCCAGGUGGAACUGUACUCAUACACACCCCUAUUUCCAGGUGGAACUGUACUCAUACACACCCCUAUUUCCAUGUGGAACUGUACUCAUACACACCCCUAUUUCCAUGUGGAACUGUACUCACACACACACCCCUAUUUCCAGGUGAAACUGUACUCUCACACACACACACACACACACACACACACACACCACUAUUUCCAGGUGGAACUGUACACACACACACACACCACUAUUUCCAGGUGGAACUGUACUCACACACACCACUAUUUCCAGGUGGAACUGUACUCAUACACACACCCCUAUUUCCAUGUGGAACUGUACUCACACACACACCCCUAUUUCCAGGUGAAACUGUACUCAUACACACACACACACACCCCUAUUUCCAGGUGGAACUGUCCUCAUAUACACACACACACACACCCACCCCUAUUUCCAGGUGGAACUGUACUCAUACACACACACCCCUAUUUCCAUGUGGAACUGUACUCAUACACCCCUAUUUCCAGGUGGAACUGUACUCAUACACACACACGCCACUAUUGCAAGGUGGAACUGUACUCAUACACACCCCUAUUUCCAGGUGAAACUGUACUCAUAUACAUACACACACACACCUAUUUCCAGGUGGAACUGUACUCAUACACACACACACCCCUAUUUCCAUGUGGAACUGUACUCAUAUACACCUAUUUCCAGGUGGAACUGUACACACACACACACACACACACACACACACACACACACACACACACCUAUUUCCAGGUGGAACUGUACUCAUACACACCACUAUUUCCAGGUGGAACUAUACUCAUACACACACACACACACACACCUAUUUCCAUGUGGAACUGUACUCAUACACACCCCAAUUUCCAGGUGGAACUGUACUCAUACACACACACACACACACACCCCUAUUUCCAUGUGGCACUGUACUCACACACACACACACACAAACACACUAUUUCCAUGUGGAACUGUAUUCAUACACACCCCUAUUUCCAGGUGGAACUGUACUCACACACCCCUAUUUCCAGGUGGAACUGUACUCAUACAAACCCCUAUUUCCAGGUGGAACUGUACUCACACACACACACACCACUAUUUCCAGGUGGAACUGUACACACACAC